UACAGAGGGUGCGAGCGUUACUCGGAAUUACUGGGCGUAAAGCGUGCGUAGACGGUAGCGUAAGUCAGAUGUGAAAGCCCCGGGCUCAACCUGGGAAUUGCAUUUGAGACUGCUCUGCUCGGGUGCGGAAGAGGGAAGCGGAAUUUCCGGUGUAGCGGUGAAAUGCGUAGAUAUCGGAAGGAACACCAGUGGCGAAAGCGGCUUCCUGGUCCGACACCGACGUUCAGGCACGAAAGCGUGGGGAGCAAACAGG
rnacentral:rRNA from 1 species